rnacentral:lncRNA from 1 species
UUUUUCCUUUGCAAAUUUUGGACUUCAUCGGAGCUAGCCGGAGAAGACGGUGGCGCUGGCCACCGUCUGGUCUCCAGAUCUAAUCGUGGCCAUCCAUUUCCGUUUCCAGAUUUAAUCCUGGUUGUCCAACGUUAUGACUUUUUUAAAAUGUUUAUGUGGUUGCAUUGACUGAAGUGUUUGGUAGGCGCGCAUGUGUGAUCCGUCUGAUCUGCCAGGUCAAUUAAUGAACUGGAUCCAACGCCUCUCCUUUUUUCUUAUUUUUAAUUCUGAUUUCGAUUUUUU